UUAUUGGAGAGUUUGAUCCUGGCUCAGGAUGAACGCUGGCGGCGUGCCUAAUACAUGCAAGUCGAGCGAC
rnacentral:rRNA from 1 species